UGAUGGUAUUACUGUUUAGUGAACUCUCAGCAGGAAAGAGGUUGGUGAUUAGUGAAGAUUUCCUUUGAACAAGAAAUCAAAGGAGUUGCUGUAAUGCUCCCACCACCACCACCGCAGAUAAUAUUAAUCAACUAUCAGCACAGACUGGGG